rnacentral:rRNA from 1 species
GUAGGGAAUAUUGGGCAAUGGUCGGAAGACUGACCCAGCCAUGCCGCGUGCAGGAAGACGGCCCUCUGGGUUGUAAACUGCUUUUAUCUGGGAAGAAAAAGGCCAUGCGUGGCAAAUUGCCGGUACCAGAUGAAUAAGCACCGGCUAACUCCGUGCCAGCAGCCGCGGUAAUACGGAGGGUGCGAGCGUUGUCCGGAUUUAUUGGGUUUAAAGGGUGCGUAGGCGGCUGAUUAAGUCAGCGGUGAAAGACUUCGGCUUAACCGGGGCAGUGCCGUUGAUACUGGUUGGCUUGAGUGUCGGAGGGGUACAUGGAAUUGAUGGUGUAGCGGUGAAAUGCAUAGAUACCAUCAGGAACACCGAUAGCGAAGGCAUUGUACUGGCCGACAACUGACGCUGAUGCACGAAAGUGUGGGGAUCGAACAGGAUUAGAAACCCUGGUAGUCC